UUUGACUGUGAAUGGGGAUA
rnacentral:piRNA from 1 species